UUCCGGUUGAUCCUGCCGGACCCGACUGCUAUCAGAGUGAGAUUAAGCCAUGCGAGUUAACGUAGCAAUACGUGGCGCACGGCUCAGUAACACGUAGUCAACAUGCCCAGAGGACGUGGAUAACCUCGGGAAACUGAGUCUAAACCGCGAUAAGUGAGGAUUUCUGGAAUGGUUCCUGACUAAAAUCUAUAUGGCCUCUGGAUUGGACUGCGGCCGAUCAGGCUGUUGGUGAGGUAAUGGCCCACCAAACCUGUAACCGGUACGGGCUCUGAGAGGAGGAGCCCGGAGAUGGGCACUGAGACAAGGGCCCAGGCCCUAUGGGGCGCAGCAGGCGCGAAACCUCUGCAAUAGGCGAAAGCCUGACAGGGUUACUCUGAGUGACUUUCGCUAAGAAAGUCUUUUGGCACCUCUAAAAAGGGUGCAGAAUAAGGGGUGGGCAAGUCUGGUGUCAGCCGCCGCGGUAAUACCAGCACCCCGAGUGGUCGGGACGAUUAUUGGGCCUAAAGCAUCCGUAGCCGGUUCUGCAAGUCUUCCGUUAAAUCCACCUGCUCAACAGAUGGGCCGCGGAGGAUACUACAGGGCUAGGAGGCGGGAGAGGCAAGCGGUACUCAGUGGGUAGGGGUAAAAUCCUCUGAUCCACUGAAGACCACCAGUGGCGAAGGCGGCUUGCCAGAACGCGCUCGACGGUGAGGGAUGAAAGCUGGGGGAGCAAACCGGAUUAGAUACCCGGGUAGUCCCAGCUGUAAACGAUGCAGACUCGGUGAUGAGUUGGCUUAUUGCUAACUCAGUGCCGCAGGGAAGCCGUUAAGUUUGCCGCCUGGGGAGUACGGUCGCAAGACUGAAACUUAAAGGAAUGGCGGGGGAGCA
rnacentral:rRNA from 1 species